rnacentral:lncRNA from 1 species
CAGUUGAGAAGGUGAAGCUAAUUUUAGAUAUUUUUAGCGGCUAAAGAAAUCAUGUAUAAGCUUGGACCUUAAUUUAAUAUGCUCAACUAACUCCAAAAUCAAUUAAAUCAAAGAUGUUAGAGGGUGUUUAGGUGGAGGGAGUUGGAAUCUAGAAUCGAAAUGGGAAUAGAUGACUUCCAUUCCAAUCAUUUGGUUCGAAGG